rnacentral:rRNA from 1 species
UACGUAGGUGGCAAGCGUUGUCCGGAUUUACUGGGCGUAAAGAGCGCGCAGGCGGUCGUACAAGUCGCGUGUGAAAGCCCCCGGCUCAACUGGGGAGGGUCACGCGAUACUGUUCGACUCGAAGGCAGGAGAGGGAAGCAGAAUUCCCGGUGUAGUGGUGAAAUGCGCAGAUAUCAGGAGGAACACCGGUGGCGAAGGCGGUUCUCUGGGCAUGUCCUGACGCUGAGGAGCGAAAGUGUGGGGAGCGAACAGG